GGAGCGCUUUAGUUUCGCAUUACCGUUUUAUUAAUCGACUACGCGUCGUCUAAAGAAGUCGAACGGCUUUCACCGCCGCUAGGUGAUCUAAGCGGCAUGUUGUUCGGAAUUUUAUGUCUUYUGUUGCUCCCCUUUGGUUUUGCAUCCAUCAACACAACUUGUCUUCCCUCUGAUGAAGUGGAUGCAUUGAGGGUAAUCGGAAGGAAGUUGGGUAAAAAUUGGGAUUUCAACGAGGAUCCAUGCACCGGAAGAGGAAAUUGGGUCUCUGCUGUUGUUGGUGACGAUGCAAAUAAAGUCACUUGCUCAAUAGCCAACACCACCUGCAAUAUUGUUAGCAUGUAAUUUUUUUGUUCUCUAACUUUUUUUUGGUGAAUUACUA